ACGGGUGAGUAACACGUAGGUAACCUACCCUUCAGUGGGGGACAACAGAGGGAAACUUCUGCUAGUACCGCAUACGAUCACGGACUGGGAUGUUCGUGGUGAAAGGAUUUAUUCGCUGAGGGAUGGGCCUGCGGCCUAUCAGGUAGUUGGUGGGGUAAUGGCCUACCAAGCCUGCGACGGGUAGCCGGACUGAGAGGUCGAUCGGCCACACUGGAACUGAGACACGGUCCAGACUCCUACGGGAGGCAGCAGUGGGGAAUAUUGCACAAUGGGGGAAACCCUGAUGCAGCGACGCCGCGUGGAGGAUGACGGCCUUCGGGUUGUAAACUCCUUUUGUCGGGGACAAUGGUGAUGGUACCCGACGAAUAAGCCACGGCUAACUCUGUGCCAGCAGCCGCGGUAAGACAGAGGUGGCGAGCGUUGUUCGGAAUUACUGGGCUUAAAGGGCGCGUAGGCGGUGGUGUAAGUCUAGGGUGGAAUGCUACAGCUCAACUGUAGAGCUGCCUUGGAAACUGCAUUACUUGAGUCGGUGAGGGGAAGGUGGAAUUCCAGGU
rnacentral:rRNA from 1 species